rnacentral:rRNA from 1 species
GUAAGUCGGGACCUAAGGCGAGGCCGACAGGCGUAGUCGAUGGACAACCGGUUGAUAUUCCGGUACCCGCUUUGAAACGCCCAGUACUGAAUCAGGCGAUGCUAAGUCCGUGAAGCCGGCCCGAUCUCUUCGGAGUUGAGGGUAGUGGUGGAGCCGAUGAACCAGACUUGUAGUAGGUAAGCGAUGGGGUGACGCAGGAAGGUAGUCCAGCCCGGGCGGUGGUUGUCCCGGGGUAAGGGUGUAGG